GACGUAGGGGGCGAGCGUUGUCCGGAUUUAUUGGGCGUAAAGCGCGCGUAGGCGGUUCGUUAAGUCGGGUGUGAAAACCCGGGGCUCAACCCCGGGCCUGCAUCCGAUACUGGCGGACUUGAGGCAGACAGGGGAGAGUGGAAUUCCCGGUGUAGCGGUGAAAUGCGCAGAUAUCGGGAGGAACACCGGUGGCGAAGGCGGCUCUCUGGGUCUGUCCUGACGCUCAGGCGCGAAAGCUAGGGGAGCAAACAGG
rnacentral:rRNA from 1 species